UGAAUACGAGACGCUAAGGCGUCGAAGUAGUGUAUGUCAUACUUCCAAGAAAAGCUUGCACUGUCAUAGAUAAAAAACGCCUGUACCAUAACCGACACAGGUGGGUAGGUAGAGUAUACUAAGGGGCGCGAGAUAACUCUCUCUCUAAGGAACUCGGCAAAAUAACUCCGUAACUUCGGGAGAAGGAGUGCCUUAUUCGUAAGGUUGCAAUAACAAGAUCCAAGCAACUGUUUAUCAAGAACACAGGUCUCCGCUAAGUCGUAAGACGAUGUAUGGGGGCUGACGCCUGCCCAGUGCCAGAAGGUUAAAGAAGUUGGUUAGCAAUUGCGAAGCUGAUAACUGAAGCCCUGGUGAACGGCGGCCGUAACAAUAACGGUCCUAAGGUAGCGAAAUUCCUUGUCGGUAAGUUCCGACCCGCACGAAAGGCGUAAUGAUUUGGAUACUGUCUCGGAGAGGGGCUCGGUGAAAUAGACUUGUCUGUGAAGAUGCGGACUACCUGCACCAGGACAGAAAGACCCUAUGAAGCUUUACUGUAACUUGAAAUUGAAAUUGGACUUUAUUCGCGCAGUAUAGGUGGGAGGCGUUGAUUAUAAUCUUGUGGGAUUAUUGGAGCCAUCAGUGAGAUACCACUCUUGUAAUGUUAGAUUUCUAACUUUGAAUCAUUAUCUGGUCAAAGAACAGUUUCAGGCGGGCAGUUUGACUGGGGCGGUCGCCCCCUAAACGGUAACGGAGGCGUACUAAGGUUUCCUCUGAACGGUUAGAAAUCGUAUCUAGAGUGUAAAGGCAUAAGGAAGCUUGACUGUGAGACCUACAAGUCGAGCAGGGACGAAAGUCGGUCUUAGUGAUCUGACGGUACUGAGUGGAAAGGCCGUCACUCAACGGAUAAAAGUUACUCUAGGGACAACAGGCUGAUCUCCCCCAAGAGUUCACAUCGACGGGGAGGUUUGGCACCUCGAUGUCGGCUCAUCGCAUCCUGGGGCGGUAGUACGUCCCAAGGGUUGGGCUGUUCGCCCAUGAAAGCGGUACGCGAGCUGGGUUCAGAACGUCGUGAGACAGUUCGGUCCAUAUCCGGUGUAGGCGUUAGAAUAUUGAGAGGAGCCUUCUUUAGUACGAGAGGACCGAGAAGGACAUACCUCUGGUGUACCAGUUAUCGUGCCAACGGUAAACGCUGGGUAGCUAUGUAUGGAGUGGAUAACCGCUGAAAGCAUCUAAGUGGGAAGCCCACCUCAAGAUAAGUAUUCUC
rnacentral:rRNA from 1 species